UCAAAAUUCAAGUUGUCGAGGUCAUUGCAAGUGUCGAGGUGAUUCACAUAUACAAUGCUUCUCUUACAUUGACUUAUUAUCCUAUUCUGUUACAGGAAAUUUCUUUGUAGAAAGUUUACAGCUCAAUCAGCAUAAUGCACCUUAGAGAUAUAUUAAAGUACUAAAUUCUGAAACAUGCUUUAGGUUCCUUGUAGAUUUCCUACAUUCAAUAUGCAAUAUAGUGGACAACUUCCAGGUGGACUAUCUUGUGCUGCCUUUUUGUGUUUGGAGCUUCUCUAUAAAUGAUAGGAACAGUCUAUCUAAAUGAACGAUAUCCUUUAACUUUUCAUGGUGAGGGAAAAAUAAACUUUUAGUUCUUCAAAAGU
rnacentral:lncRNA from 1 species